GUCUAUGGCCAAGCUGUCCUGAACAAGCCCGAUCCUGUCUGAUUUCAGAAGCUAAGCAGAACCAGGGCUGGUUAGUACUUGGAUGGGAGACCACCUAGAAAGACCAUGUGCUGUAGGUG
rnacentral:rRNA from 1 species